rnacentral:rRNA from 1 species
UACGUAGGGCGCAAGCGUUAUCCGGAAUUAUUGGGCGUAAAGCGUCCGCAGGUGGACAUACAAGUCUGCUGUCAAAGUGCAGAGCUUAACUCUGUAAAGGCGGUGGAAACUGUAGGUCUUGAGUAUGGUAGGGGUAGAGGGAAUUCCCGGUGUAGCGGUGAAAUGCGUAGAUAUCGGGAAGAACACCAGUGGCGAAAGCGCUCUACUGGGCCAUAACUGACACUGAGGGACGAAAGCUAGGGGAGCGAAAGGG